rnacentral:rRNA from 1 species
UACGUAGGGGGCUAGCGUUGUCCGGAAUCAUUGGGCGUAAAGAGCGCGUAGGCGGCCAGAUAAGUCCGGUGUGAAAGUCACAGGCUCAACCUGUGAAUGCCGCUGGAAACUGUCUGGCUUGAGUCCGGGAGGGGCGAGUGGAAUUCCUGGUGUAGCGGUGAAAUGCGCAGAUAUCAGGAGGAACACCAAUGGCGAAGGCAGCUCGCUGGAACGGAACUGACGCUGAGGCGCGAAAGCGUGGGGAGCGAACAGG